GUCUACGGCCAUACCACUCUGAACAUGCCUGAUCUCGUCUGAUCUUGGAAGCUAAGCAGGGUCGGGUGUGGUUUGUACUUGGAUGAGAGACCGUCUGGGAAUACCGGGUGCUGUAGGUU
rnacentral:rRNA from 1 species